rnacentral:rRNA from 1 species
GACGAACGCUGGCGGCGUGCUUAACACAUGCAAGUCGAACGGAAAGGCCCUGCUUGCAGGGUACUCGAGUGGCGAACGGGUGAGUAACACUUGGGUGAUCUGCCCUGCACUUCGGGAUAAGCCUGGGAAACUGGGUCUAAUACCGGAUAGGAGCCAUUUUUAGUGUGAUGGUUGGAAAGUUUUUUCGGUGUAGGAUGAGCUCGCGGCCUAUCAGCUUGUUGGUGGGGUAAUGGCCUACCAAGGCGGCGACGGGUAGCCGGCCUGAGAGGGUGGACGGCCACAUUGGGACUGAGAUACGGCCCAGACUCCUACGGGAGGCAGCAGUGGGGAAUAUUGCACAAUGGGCGCAAGCCUGAUGCAGCGACGCCGCGUGGGGGAUGACGGCCUUCGGGUUGUAAACUCCUUUCGCUAGGGACGAAGCUUUUGUGACGGUACCCAGAUAAGAAGCACCGGCUAACUACGUG